rnacentral:rRNA from 1 species
AUACGUAGGGGGCAAGCGUUGUCCGGAAUUAUUGGGCGUAAAGGGCACGCAGGCGGUUCCUUAAGUCUGAUGUGAAAGCCCGUGGCUCAACCACGGAGGGCCAUUGGAAACUGGGGAACUUGAGAACUGAAGAGGAGAGUGGAAUUCCACGUGUAGCGGUGAAAUGCGUAGAUAUGUGGAGGAACACCAGUGGCGAAGGCGACUCUCUGGUCGGUUUCUGACGCUGAGGUGCGAAAGCGUGGGUAGCAAACAGGAUUAGAUACCCUGGUAGUCCACGCCGUAAACGAUGAGUGCUAGGUGUUAGGGGGCUUCCACCCCUUAGUGCUGAAGUUAACGCAUUAAGCACUCCGCCUGGGGAGUACGGCCGCAAGGCCGAAACUCAAAGGAAUUGACGGGGGCCCGCACAAGCGGUGGAGCAUGUGGUUUAAUUCGAUGCAACGCGAAAAACCUUACCAACCCUUGACAUCUAGUGAAAUUUCUAGAGAUAGAUUUGUGCCUUCGGGAACACUAAGACAGGUGUUGCAU